GGUGAGAUGGCCGAGCGGUCUAAGGCGCCAGAUUUAGGCUCUGGUCAGAAAUGGCGUGGGUUCGAAUCCCACUCUCAUCA
rfam:Absidia repens strain NRRL 1336 BCR42scaffold_1, whole genome shotgun sequence.